rnacentral:rRNA from 1 species
CGCGGCCUAUCAGCUUGUUGGUGGGGUAGUGGCCUACCAAGGCGACGACGGGUAGCCGGCCUGAGAGGGCGACCGGCCACACUGGGACUGAGACACGGCCCAGACUCCUACGGGAGGCAGCAGUGGGGAAUAUUGCACAAUGGGGGGAACCCUGAUGCAGCGACGCCGCGUGCGGGAUGACGGCCUUCGGGUUGUAAACCGCUUUCAGCAGGGACGAAUCUGACGGUACCUGCAGAAGAAGCGCCGGCUAACUACGUGCCAGCAGCCGCGGUAAUACGUAGGGCGCAAGCGUUGUCCGGAAUUAUUGGGCGUAAAGAGCUCGUAGGCGGCUUGUCGCGUCGGACGUGAAAGCUCGAGGCUUAACCUCGGGUCUGCGUUCGAUACGGGCAGGCUAGAGGCAGGUAGGGGAGAACGGAAUUCCCGGUGUAGCGGUGAAAUGCGCAGAUAUCGGGAGGAACACCGGUGGCGAAGGCGGUUCUCUGGGCCUGUACUGACGCUGAGGAGCGAAAGCGUGGGGAGCGAACAGGAUUAGAUACCCUGGUAGUCCACGCCGUAAACGUUGGGCGCUAGGUGUGGGGACCUUCCACGGUUUCCGCGCCGCAGCUAACGCAUUAAGCGCCCCGCCUGGGGAGUACGGA